ACCCCUAUGGCGUAAUGGCUAACGCGUUUGACUUCUAUAUUAUUUCAGCAGCUGAAAUAAUCAAAAGAUUCUCGGUUCGAGUCCGGGUAGGGGUG